AGCUGUCGCUAUGCUGGAACUUUCAAUUCCCUUUCAUUUGAAUUUCAUCCGCCUCUUAUUUUAGUCAUCCUUGAUACACUUCAGCUUCCCUUUCUCCAGUUCUCCCCCAUGCCCAUGUUUCCCUUCCUACGUUACUGGUUGCAUCUCUUCCCUUACUUUCCCCACAUUCACAGGGAAGUUGGUUCUCAGUUGCCCUGUUUAUUAGCAUUAAUAUGCCCAGCCUCUGCUACUCGGCCCUUUAGCAAAAUGCUGAAAAUGCCUAUUCCAGAGGUAUUUCGAGCUUACCACAUCCAAGCUCCAUGAAGACAAAGGUCAUAUUCAUCUUGCGAACUGUUGGCAUCCUCAGCACCUGGCACGUAAUAGCAUCCCAUAGGGAGUAGGAGGUCUUUGCUCUUCCAUGAUAUAACCUAAGCAACUCUCCACCCCUGUAGAAGAUUGCCUCUGACUGAGUGGGGCGGAUCUCACAUCGUGCCUCCCACGUGCUGCAGGGGCGACUGCCAUGAAUUCCCAGCUCACAGAUGGCGCCACCCCAGUGGAUGUGUGAAUGUCACAGAGGGAACCCAAAUUUCCCACUCUUCGCCC